rnacentral:rRNA from 1 species
GAGUUUGAUCCUGGCUCAGAACGAACGCUGGCGGCGUGCCUAACACAUGCAAGUCGAACGGGAUUAGGGGCUUGCUCCUAAUCUAGUGGCGCACGGGUGAGUAACGCGUAGAUAAUCUGCCUGACGAUCUGGGAUAACACUUCGAAAGAGGUGCUAAUACCGGAUAAGCCCACGGGCUCUUUGGAGCUUGCGGGAAAAGGUGGCCUCUAUUUAUAAGCUACUGUAUCAGGAUGGGUCCGCGUACCAUUAGCUAGUUGGCGGUGUAACGAACCACCAAGGCGACGAUGGUUAGCUGGUCUGAGAGGAUGGUCAGCCACACUGGAACUGAGACACGGUCCAGACUCCUACGGGAGGCAGCAGUGGGGAAUUUUGCGCAAUGGGGGAAACCCUGACGCAGCAACGCCGCGUGAGUGAUGAAGGCCUUUGGGUCGUAAAGCUCUGUCAGAGGGGAAGAAAUGAUAUAGUGCUAAUACCACUUUAUCUUGACGGUACCCUCAAAGGAAGCACCGGCUAACUCCGUGCCAGCAGCCGCGGUAAUAC